rnacentral:misc_RNA from 1 species
GCGUUUCAAUUUAUUGGUUUUCAAAUCCUCAAUUUCUUUAGGAAUGCCCGGAAAUCCGCCUCCAGAGAAGGAUGAUUGAGGUGCUUGAUUGCGGCGAGGAGAAAUGCCCCUUGAAGUUGAACGCCUAAAAGGAGAUGUCUGACUUAUCAUUAGCCGGUCGCUUGCAUAUGAGAACCUAUUGGAUCCACAACUUAGCUUGUUCUCAANCCCAACCAGCCUAGGCGAUUGAACUUCAUUUUCUAGUUUUUGUUUAUAAACAGCAUCCUUGGCAGG